rnacentral:rRNA from 1 species
CACGUAGGGCGCAAGCGUUGUCCGGAAUUAUUGGGCGUAAAGAGCUCGUAGGCGGUCUGUUGCGUCCGCUGUGAAAACUCGGGGCUUAACCCCGAGCCUGCAGUGGAUACGGGCAGACUAGAGGUAGAUAGGGGAGAAUGGAAUUCCCGGUGUAGCGGUGAAAUGCGCAGAUAUCAGGAGGAACACCGGUGGCGAAGGCGGUUCUCUGAGCCUGUUCUGACGCUGAGGAGCGAAAGCGUGGGGAGCGAACAGG